AUUGAACGCUGGCGGCAUGCCUUACACAUGCAAGUCGAACGGCAGCACGGGUGCUUGCACCUGGUGGCGAGUGGCGAACGGGUGAGUAAUACAUCGGAACGUACCUUAUCGUGGGGGAUAACGCAGCGAACGCUGUGCUAAUACCGCAUACGCCCUGAGGGGGAAAGCGGGGGAUCGCACGACCUCGCGCGAUUAGAGCGGCCGAUGCCUGAUGAGCUUGUUGGGGGGGUAAAAGCCCACCAAGGCGACGAUCAGUAGCUGGUCUGAGGGGACGAUCAGCCACACUGGGACUGAGACACGGCCCAGACUCCUACGGGAGGCAGCAGUGGGGAAUUUUGGACAAUGGGGGCAACCCUGAUCCAGCAAUGCCGCGUGAGUGAAGAAGGCCUUCGGGUUGUAAAGCUCUUUUGUCAGGGAAGAAACACCGGCUCUAACACAGUCCGGGAAUGACGGUACCUGAAGAAUAAGCACCGGCUAACUACGUGCCAGCCGCCGCAGUAA
rnacentral:rRNA from 1 species